AAGUCGGGCGGCAGCACAGGUACUUGUACCGGGUGGCGAGCGGCGGACGGGUGAGUAAUGCCUAGGAAUCUGCCUGGUAGUGGGGGAUAACGCUCGGAAACGGACGCUAAUACCGCAUACGUCCUACGGGAGAAAGCAGGGGACCUUCGGGCCUUGCGCUAUCAGAUGAGCCUAGGUCGGAUUAGCUAGUUGGUGAGGUAAAGGCUCACCAAGGCGACGAUCCGUAACUGGUCUGAGAGGAUGAUCAGUCACACUGGAACUGAGACACGGUCCAGACUCCUACGGGAGGCAGCAGUGGGGAAUAUUGGACAAUGGGCGAAAGCCUGAUCCAGCCAUGCCGCGUGUGUGAAGAAGGUCUUCGGAUUGUAAAGCACUUUAAGUUGGGAGGAAGGGUCGUUACCUAAUACGUGACGAUUUUGACGUUACCGACAGAAUAAGCACCGGCUAACUCUGUGCCAGCAGCCGCGGUAAUACAGAGGGUGCAAGCGUUAAUCGGAAUUACUGGGCGUAAAGCGCGCGUAGGUGGUUCGUUAAGUUGGAUGUGAAAUCCCCGGGCUCAACCUGGGAACUGCAUCCAAAACUGGCGAGCUAGAGUAGGGCAGAGGGUGGUGGAAUUUCCUGUGUAGCGGUGAAAUGCGUAGAUAUAGGAAGGAACACCAGUGGCGAAGGCGACCACCUGGGCUCAUACUGACACUGAGGUGCGAAAGCGUGGGGAGCAAACAGGAUUAGA
rnacentral:rRNA from 1 species